GAGAAAUGGGGAAAACACGGGAAAACCGGGAGAACAGGAAAAUACAUAUAAUAUUAAACAAAUAUUUGAUAUUAAAGAAAAUGUUAAAUACAUACGUUGUAUAUUUUACCAUAAUAUGGCAUUAUUACAUGUUGUUGACAAAGCAACACUAUCAACUGAACUCCGCUCAGAAUCGUUUUCUCGGUAGCAAUGGUUAAUCGUUGCUUACAGAUAUACGUUCAAUUUCCAUCUAUAUAUUACAUUCCCAACUUCCCGUCUAUAACAGUGGCUUGUUCAUCGUGCUAAAUCGACCGGAUUUUUUUUCCCUCGUUUGCCGAGGUAUUACUGAAGCAACACAAAUUAGAAUCGUUCAGUGUGUAAUCAGCUUAAAACAAAUUCCAAAACGAUAUUAUUUACUCGAAACGGCGUAAUCCAUUCGGAAAAUUUUACGGAAAAUCAAUCGACGAUUAAUUAGUACUUUUAUCGAAUUUCCAAUUACGACGCGGCUCGAAUACUUGUUCGC